CACAUCUCAACAUUUCUCAACUCUGUCAGAUUCACUCAGAAAUGUCAGUUAAAGAGCAAGGUCUACCGUUAUUUUACAUAUUGAUCUUUGCUGCCACUGCUGGAUCUCUGUUGAUUGUAGCUGCAGUUGUGAUGUGCUGCAUCUGCAAGAAACGUAGAAAAACAGUCCAAAACCACGAAGAAGACUCUGAUUCAGCAUUGUGUAAACCCAAAACACACAAAAAGAAAUCAAAGUCGGAGGCUGUGUAUGAAAAUGUCCCCAAAAAAACGA